rnacentral:rRNA from 1 species
CGGCGUGCUUAACACAUGCAAGUCGAACGAUGACUUUUGUGCUUGCACAGAAUGAUUAGUGGCGAACGGGUGAGUAACACGUGAGUAACCUGCCCCUGACUCUGGGAUAAGCCUGGGAAACUGGGUCUAAUACCGGAUAUGCACCGUGGACCGCAUGGUUCUUGGUGGAAAGAAUUUUGGUCAGGGAUGGACUCGCGGCCUAUCAGCUUGUUGGUGAGGUAAUGGCUCACCAAGGCGACGACGGGUAGCCGGCCUGAGAGGGUGACCGGCCACACUGGGACUGAGACACGGCCCAGACUCCUACGGGAGGCAGCAGUGGGGAAUAUUGCACAAUGGGCGAAAGCCUGAUGCAGCGACGCCGCGUGAGGGAUGACGGCCUUCGGGUUGUAAACCUCUUUCAGUAGGGAAGAAGCGAAAGUGACGGUACCUGCAGAAGAANCNCCGGCUAACUACGUGCCAGCAGCCGCGGUAAUACGUAGGGCGCAAGCGUUAUCCGGAAUUAUUGGGCGUAAAGNGCUCGUAGGCGGUUUGUCGCGUCUAUCGUGAAAGUCCGAGGCUCAACCUCGGAUCUGCGGUGGGUACGGGCAGACUAGAGUGAUGUAGGGGAAACUGGAAUUCCUGGUGUAACCGGUGAAAUGCCCA